UACAGAGGGGGCAAGCGUUGUUCGGAAUUACUGGGCGUAAAGGGCGCGUAGGCGGCCUUCUAAGUCGAACGUGAAAUCCCCGGGCUCAACCCGGGAACUGCGUCCGAUACUGGAAGGCUUGAAUCCGGGAGAGGGUAGUGGAAUUCCCGGUGUAGUGGUGAAAUGCGUAGAUAUCGGGAGGAACACCAGUGGCGAAGGCGACUACCUGGCCUGUUUCUUGACGCUGAGGCGCGAAAGCUAGGGGAGCAAACGGG
rnacentral:rRNA from 1 species